AAGCGUGCGCAGGCGGUUAUGUAAGACAGAUGUGAAAUCCCCGGGCUCAACCUGGGAACUGCAUUUGUGACUGCAUGGCUAGAGUACGGUAGGAGGGGGAUGGAAUUCCGCGUGUAGCAGUGAAAUGCGUAGAUAUGCGGAGGAACACCGAUGGCGAAGGCAAUCCCCUGGACCUGUACUGACGCUCAUGCACGAAAGCGUGGGGAGCAAACAGGAUUAGAUACCCUAGU
rnacentral:rRNA from 1 species